rnacentral:rRNA from 1 species
CAGCAGCAGCCGCGGUAAUACGUAGGUGGCAAGCGUUGUCCGGAAUUAUUGGGCGUAAAGGGCUCGCAGGCGGUUUCUUAAGUCUGAUGUGAAAGCCCCCGGCUCAACCGGGGAGGGUCAUUGGAAACUGGGAAACUUGAGUGCAGAGGAGAAGAGUGGAAUUCCACGUGUAGCGGUGAAAUGCGUAGAGAUGUGGAGGAACACCAGUGGCGAAGGCGACUCUCUGGUCUGUAACUGACGCUGAGGAGCGAAAGCGUGGGGAGCGAACAGGAUUAGAUACCCCAGUAGUCCCUGUCUCUUAUAC